rnacentral:rRNA from 1 species
GAUGAACGCUGGCGGCGUGCCUAAUACAUGCAAGUCGAGCGAACAGACGAGGAGCUUGCUCCUCUGACGUUAGCGGCGGACGGGUGAGUAACACGUGGAUAACCUACCUAUAAGACUGGGAUAACUUCGGGAAACCGGAGCUAAUACCGGAUAAUAUAUUGAACCGCAUGGUUCAAUAGUGAAAGACGGUUUUGCUGUCACUUAUAGAUGGAUCCGCGCCGCAUUAGCUAGUUGGUAAGGUAACGGCUUACCAAGGCAACGAUGCGUAGCCGACCUGAGAGGGGGAUCGGCCACACUGGACCUGAGACACGGUCCAGACUCCUACGGGAGGCAGCAGUGGGGAAUCUUCCGCAAUGGGCGAAAGCCUGACGGAGCAACGCCGCGUGAGUGAUGAAGGUCUUCGGAUCGUAAAACUCUGUUAUUAGGGAAGAACAAAUGUGUAAGUAACAAUGCACGUCUUGACGGUACCUAAUCAGAAAGCCACGGCGAACUACGU